UACAGAGGGUGCAAACGUUGCUCGGAAUUAUUGGGCGUAAAGCGCACGUAGGCGGUUCGUUAAGUCGGAUGUGAAAGCCCUAGGCUCAACCUAGGAAGUGCAUUCGAAACUGGCGAGCUUGAAUAUGGAAGAGGGUCGCGGAAUUCCCGGUGUAGAGGUGAAAUUCGUAGUUAUCGGGAGGAACACCAGUGGCGAAGGCGGCGACCUGGGCCAAUAUUGACGCUGAGGUGCGAAAGCGUGGGGAGCAAACAGG
rnacentral:rRNA from 1 species